CCGGCUAACUACGUGCCAGCAGCCGCGGUAAUACGUAGGGUGCGAGCGUUGUCCGGAAUUAUUGGGCGUAAAGGGCUCGUAGGCGGUUUGUCGCGUCGGGAGUGAAAACCUUGGGCUUAACUCAGGGCUUGCUUUCGAUACGGGCAGACUAGAGGUAUGCAGGGGAGAACGGAAUUCCUGGUGUAGCGGUGAAAUGCGCAGAUAUCAGGAGGAACACCGGUGGCGAAGGCGGUUCUCUGGGCAUGAUCUGACGCUGAGGAGCGAAAGUGUGGGGAGCGAACAGGAUUAGAUACCCUGGUAGUCCAUGCCGUAAACGGUGGGCGCUAGGUGUGAGGGUCUUUUCACGACUUUCGUGCCGUAGCUAACGCAUUAAGCGCCCCGCCUGGGGAGUACGGCCGCAAGGCUAAAACUCAAAGGAAUUGACGGGGCCCCGCACAAGCGGCGGAGCAUGCGGAUUAAUUCGAUGCAACGCGAAGAACCUUACCUGGGUUUGACAUGGAUCGGGAGUGCUCAGAGAUGGGUGUGCCUCUUUUGGGGUCGGUUCACAGGUGGUGCAUGGCUGUCGUCAGCUCGUGUCG
rnacentral:rRNA from 1 species